rnacentral:rRNA from 1 species
CCCUUAGAUGUUCUGGGCCGCACGCGCGCUACACUGAUUCAUGCAACAAGUUUUGUCCUUGGCUGAUAGGCCUGGGUAAUCUUUGAACGUGAAUCGUGAUGGGGAUAGAUGAUUGCAAUUAUUCAUCUUCAACGAGGAAUUCCUAGUAAACGCAAGUCAUCGGCUUGCAUUGAUUACGUCCCUGCCCUUUGUACACACCGCCCGUCGUACCUACCGAUUGAAUGGUCCGGUGAAAUCUUCGGAUCUGAGAGAUGUCUGAUUAAUUUCGGACGCCUUUUGGAAAAGUUGCUUAAACCUUACCAUUUAGAGGAAGGUGAAGUCGUAACA